rnacentral:rRNA from 1 species
GACGAACGCUGGCGGCGUGCUUAACACAUGCAAGUCGAACGGAAAGGCCCUGCUUUUGUGGGUUGCUCGAGUGGCGAACGGGUGAGUAACACGUGAGUAACCUGCCCUUGACUUUGGGAUAACUUCAGGAAACUGGGGCUCAUACCGGAUAUGAGCUCCUGCUGCAUGUUGGGGGUUGGAAAGUUUCGGCGGUUGGGGAUGGACUCGCGGCUUAUCAGCUUGUUGGUGGGGUAGUGGCUUACCAAGGCUUUGACGGGUAGCCGGCCUGAGAGGGUGACCGGCCACAUUGGGACUGAGAUACGGCGCAGACGCCUACGGGAGGCAGCAGUGGGGAAUAUUGCACAAUGGGCGGAAGCCUGAUGCAGCAACGCCGCGUGCGGGAUGACGGCCUUCGGGUUGUAAACCGAUGUCGCCUGUGACGAAGCGUGAGUGACGGUAAUGGGUAAAGAAGCACCGGCUAACUACGUG